UCUCAAACCGACUGGCGCGGGGCGCUGA
rnacentral:sRNA from 1 species